UUUUUCUCAUUUCCUUCUUCAACUUUGAUUUUCCAAAUCAAACUCUACAAAACUUUUAGUAAGUGAAAAUCAAAUUCUUCUUUUAAGCUUGAAAGAUUUGGGCUUUCUUAAUCAAGGAAAACAAAGGUGAGUAAUUUUAAUUGCUUGAUUUUGCUGUAAACUAGGGUUAAUGAUAUAAAAUUGUUGAUGAUUAUGUGUUUUGGAAUUGUUUAAUCAAGAGUAAACAUGCUUUUACUUGUGAUCUUGAAGCUGAAAUUUCUGGGCAGAUUUUUCACUUAUGAUUUCGUGACCUUAGAGGCUUUAUCUCGAAAAUUUUCAAACAUGAAAGUUGUAGGUAUAUGUCUCAAGAAUAUCUCUGUAAAAUGGUUUUGCAGAUUGUUGAGUGAGUAGGAACUUAUGAGGUUCGAUUUUGCUGCUGCUCUGUUUUUGGUUCAGCAGGUGACCUGGUUUUUGUGCUGAUAUUUUGAGGCAUUUAGAUGCUAACCAAGCAGANNNNNNNNNNNNNNNNNNNNNNNNNNNNNNNNNNNNNNNNNNNNNNNNNNNNNNNNNNNNNNNNNNNAAGUUGUUCAUUUAUAUAUCUAGUAUAUGUCUGCAAAAUUUCAUAAUUUUUGGUUGAGUAUAGCCUGAGAUAUGUUGAACUUAAUAUAGCCUGCUCGAAACUGUUUUAAGGAUAAAUCGGACUUAAAAUUCAGAAAUUUGUUGCUAAUUUUGUGUUUCACAACUUGAGCUAGAGAAGUCCAAAUUGAGUAAAAUUAGUGUCUAUAGAAACUUUAGAAUGUUAACUUUAUAUCUGGAGAGUUUCAUCAGAAAAUUUAUUCGUUUGAUUGGUCAUUUAAUAGGAAACUUUUUAUUAUUCUGUUUAGAUAGAAAUUUGAGCAGCUGUAUAGAAAAUUCCAUAACUAUUUCUAUACCAAUGAUUUUGAAGUGAUUCUUUCUGCUAUGGUUUCUAUAAAAAUGGAAGUGUAAUUCUGGAAAAUAUGAAAUUUUUAUUAAUUGUACAUAAGUUUUGGUGUAAUUUCUAAGUCAGUACCUACAAGCUGCCUUCAUCAACAAAUAUGUUGAUUUGUUGUCAUUCAUCUCAUGCAUCAUAUUAAUAUCUAGAAUAUAUGUUAUUUUGUUGAAAUGUGAUAUUUUAUUGAUAGUAAAUAUAUAUAUAUAUAUAUAUAUAUAUAUAUAUAUAUAUAUAUAUAUAUAUAUUUAUGCCUUGUGAUUGAAUUGUAUUUGUAUUGAAUAUGUGAAUAGGUUCAUCCAAAGGCAAGGAAGUGGUAAGAGAAAAAGAAUAGGAUUACUUUGUUAUCCUAUAACUUUUGGUAAGUAUUUAAUAGACUAAACUUUGUGUAUAUUGAGUAGGGACUGCUGUUUGAUUACUUGAUAAUUUCUUGGUUGACUGAGUUGAUAUUAGUUAUGUUUUUGGCUUGUUAUAAAGUGAAUUGAUUGUGAUGUGUUGUGAAGUGAAAUGAUUGUGAUUAAGGAUUGAUGACUUUUGUAUGGAUAUUGUGUGAUCAGGAAAGCUGAGCCGGGCGGAUAGUCUUGUCAAGUGGUUACUGAAAUUUAAAAAUAUGAGGAAAUAUAAGGAUGAGUCAUCUGAUCCUAAUUUGAUAGAAAUAAUGUGGAAUUGAAUUAUUUGACUUGGUUGAGUUUGAGAUUAUUUGCAUUACGUGAGAUGAAAUUAUAUGUUUAUGAGAAUAACUGAAAUGGUUGAUUUUGUAAUUGUUAGUUAAGUGUUGGUAUAAUUUUAUAUAUUGAUAAAGAUUUGAUAAUUCUAGCCUAAUGUACUAUAGUUUAGUAAAUUAAAUGCUUAUUGAGUCGCUAGCUCAUUCCUUAGCAAAUUUUUUUUUUCAGGUUAGUGCAGUUGUAGAUAGCCUUAGCUGUGCAUUGCUCUCUUUGCAUCAGUCAAUAUUAUCAGGUGGGCCAGAGGAGUUAUCUAAAGCAUUGGGGCAUUUUAGGAACUUGUGUGAAUUAAACUACUGUAUAAAUAUUUCUUAUAUAUAUUAAGUAUGUCAUGCC
rnacentral:lncRNA from 1 species